UGUGAGCGCCUGCCACUCUUGCUCCUGGCUGUGGUGCUGUAUCAGUGUCAUCACUCAGGAUGGACUCCCCACCACUCUACCUGCCUCUGCUGCUGCUGACCAGUCUGCUCACCCUGGCAAGGGGCAGGAGCUCAGUCAUGUAAGUAUGAGACACAAUUACUUUCUGUAUUUGAUGCCACUUUAAUAAAUGCACCAGAGAGCUGGAAGAGUCCCAGCAUAGAGACAGUUUGAGGGCAGUUGGUCCUCUCUACGGUUGAUAAGCGGCUAUUUUUAUGCCUCACACAAAAUAGUUAUUUUUGUAGGAAAUGGGUAUUGUGAGCAUCUGGCUUCCUUGAUAUUUUCAUGUUUUUCAUUCGAUUUAUUGAAGGUAUUUUAAGCGGAAUACGCAGCUGGUUUCAUUGUUUUGUGUCAGCAUGUGAACGAGCUUCUGAGAUGUUAAACCUCUUUGAUCCACCUACAUUCUCAGAUACUGUAAUGGUUUUAUUUUUUCUCAGCAACUUAGUUCAUUCUGUGCUCUCGUUGGGGUAUUGAGAGGGAGCUGGUGGUAUAUAACUGUAAUAACAGAUCGUAUCUAUUCCCCGAAGGCUGAGUCACAAAUUUGGCUCCAAAGUACUUUUGGCUCAGGUCUCAACCAUUUCUCCUGCAUGGCUGAGCUGUAUGUGUACCUAUUCUAAAAGUAUUACCAGGGAGGAUGUGGAACAAAAUGCCCGCUUUGUUGUGGCAGCUCAGGCCCAAUAGUGUUGUUGGUAUUGAGUGCGAACAGGAGCCAAGGUAAAGCCACAGCCCUCCCAGGGGAGGGGAAGGUUGGUCUGUGUUUGUUAAAGUGUUUUCCUCCUUUCCUUCCUCCUCCACCUCCUGCUUACUGUGCAGUGGAGUGGAGGGUCGCCAGGCACACCUCCUGCUUACUGUGCAGUGGAGUGGAGGGCCGCCAGGCACACCUCCUGCUUACUGUGCAGUGGAGUGGAGGGUCGCCAGGCACACCUCCUGCUUACUGUGCAGUGGAGUGGAGGGCCGCCAGGCACACCUCCUGCUUACUGUGCAGUGGAGUGGAGGGCCGCCAGGCACACCUCCUGCUUACUGUGUAGUGGAGUGGAGGGCCGCCAGGCACACCUCCUGCUUACUGUGCAGUGGAGUGGAGGGCCGCCAGGCACACCUCCUGCUUACUGUGCAGUGGAGUGGAGGGUCACCAGGCACAUCUCCUGCUUACUGUGGAGGGCCGCCAGGCACCAGGGAAGGGCCUUCCUCUGUCUGGAGGACUCUACCUGCACUGUAAAGGAGAAAGCACAGAGGGAACUCCCAGGCUAGUCUUGAAGAAUAGUCAAUUUAGCCUUGGAUAUUUUGUACCCCAAAUAGUAGUUUGCAUUAGCCUUGGAUGUCAUGGUGUCUUUGUGUGUCUGUGUGUGUGGUUGUCCAGUAUUCACCAUAGAUAGUGUGACACUCAAACUGGACCCCAGUGGCGAGGUAACCAGUGGGAUCUAGAAAAAAGAAACGCACACCUAUAAAGGCGAGGUGCUGGCUAGCGGAGUAGAAAACUAGAAAAUAAGGGAAAGCCGCACACUCUAAGAGCUCAGAUGCAAAAAUUUUAUAACCAACAUUUCGACAGCAAAGCUGUCUUCAUCAGGGUAUCAUCACAAACACUGCGAGAUGAGUCAUUUAUAUAGUGUCAAGAGACACACAGGUGUUUGUAAUCAUGGCCAAGUGUGGCCUAAUAUCAUUGGUUAACUCAAAUAUUU
rnacentral:lncRNA from 1 species